GCUCAGGAUGAACGCUGGCGGCGUGCCUAAUACAUGCAAGUCGAGCGAACGGACGAGAAGCUUGCUUCUCUGAUGUUAGCGGCGGACGGGUGAGUAACACGUGGAUAACCUACCUAUAAGACUGGGAUAACUUCGGGAAACCGGAGCUAAUACCGGAUAAUAUUUUGAACCGCAUGGUUCAAAAGUGAAAGACGGUCUUGCUGUCACUUAUAGAUGGAUCCGCGCUGCAUUAGCUAGUUGGUAAGGUAACGGCUUACCAAGGCAACGAUGCAUAGCCGACCUGAGAGGGUGAUCGGCCACACUGGAACUGAGACACGGUCCAGACUCCUACGGGAGGCAGCAGUAGGGAAUCUUCCGCAAUGGGCGAAAGCCUGACGGAGCAACGCCGCGUGAGUGAUGAAGGUCUUCGGAUCGUAAAACUCUGUUAUUAGGGAAGAACAUAUGUGUAAGUAACUGUGCACAUCUUGACGGUACCUAAUCAGAAAGCCACGGCUAACUACGUGCCAGCAGCCGCGGUAAUACGUAGGUGGCAAGCGUUAUCCGGAAUUAUUGGGCGUAAAGCGCGCGUAGGCGGUUUUUUAAGUCUGAUGUGAAAGCCCACGGCUCAACCGUGGAGGGUCAUUGGAAACUGGAAAACUUGAGUGCAGAAGAGGAAAGUGGAAUUCCAUGUGUAGCGGUGAAAUGCGCAGAGAUAUGGAGGAACACCAGUGGCGAAGGCGACUUUCUGGUCUGUAACUGACGCUGAUGUGCGAAAGCGUGGGGAUCAAACAGGAUUAGAUACCCUGGUAGUCCACGCCGUAAACGAUGAGUGCUAAGUGUUAGGGGGUUUCCGCCCCUUAGUGCUGCAGCUAACGCAUUAAGCACUCCGCCUGGGGAGUACGACCGCAAGGUUGAAACUCAAAGGAAUUGACGGGGACCCGCACAAGCGGUGGAGCAUGUGGUUUAAUUCGAAGCAACGCGAAGAACCUUACCAAAUCUUGACAUCCUUUGACAACUCUAGAGAUAGAGCCUUCCCCUUCGGGGGACAAAGUGACAGGUGGUGCAUGGUUGUCGUCAGCUCGUGUCGUGAGAUGUUGGGUUAAGUCCCGCAACGAGCGCAACCCUUAAGCU
rnacentral:rRNA from 1 species